CCUACGGGAGGCAGCAGUGGGGAAUAUUGCACAAUGGGGGGAACUCUGAUGCAGCGAUGCCGCGUGCGGGAAGAAGUCUCUCUGUAUGUAAAGCUCUAUCAGUAGGGAAGAAAACGACGGUACCCGUCUAAGACUCCCCGGCUAACUACGUUCCAGCAGCCGCGGUACUACGGAGGGGGCAAGCGUUAUCCGGAUUUACUGGGUGUAAAGGGAGCGUAGGCGGUUAUGCAAGUCUGAAGUGAAAGCCCAAGGCUCAACCAUGGGACUGCUUUGGAAACUGUAAAACUGGAGUGCAGGAGAGGUAAGCGGAAUUCCUGGUGUAGCGGUGAAAUGCGUAGAUAUUAGGCAGAACACCAGUGGCGAAGGCAGCUUAC
rnacentral:rRNA from 1 species